rnacentral:rRNA from 1 species
AAUAAUUUAUUUGAUGGUUUCUUACUACAUGGAUAACUGUAGUAAUUCUAGAGCUAAUACAUGCGUAAAAUCCCGACUCUCGCGGGGAGGGAUGUAUUUAUUAGAUAAAAAACCAAUGCGGCCUUUGGCCGGUUUUGUGGUGAAUCAUAGUAACUUUUCGAAUCGCAUGGCUUCACGCCGGCGAUAGUUCAUUCAAAUUUCUGCCCUAUCAGCUUUCGACGGUAGUGUAGUGGACUACCGUGGCGUUAACGGGUAACGGAGAAUUAGGGUUCGAUUCCGGAGAGGGAGCCUGAGAAACAACUACCACA